rnacentral:lncRNA from 1 species
CUCUUCUAGAGCUGAUUACCAACUCCUACCACUGUUAACCCUCAUCCAGGAACAAGCUUAUGUCUUUAACAUUCUGAGUGGGCUUCAGCAUCCUUGCAUAUGUUCAAUUCUUAAAAACCUGUUGAAAUAAAAGAUCAGGAGACAUAGGAGGGAUGCCAGAAGACAGCGUGGCCUCACGUGUACCAGCUCUCUGCUCUCCUUUGCCUUGGGACGUUCCAUCCCUGGAAGUUUCCCUGCCCACAUCUUUGUAGAGAGUCCAUUCUCCAAGCUUCAGUGUGUCAUCUGUUAGGACUAUGACCCACCUGGUACAUUACCUCAGGGCAUUCAUUUCAGGCUCCUUCUAAGUGGUCAAGUCAUCUAUGAACUGACUCUGUCUCAAAAAAAAGGAAGAAUGAAAAAAAAAAAAAACUAGGACACCGCUAACAGGAAUGGGGACAAAGAAUCUGCACUGAUGAGGAAACUGAAACAGAAAAUCCAGAGUAAAUUCCACCAGGCCACACAGCAAGGUCUGAUAGAGCCAGGAGAGACUUUAUGAAAUCCAGACUCUCACACUAAUGCUCUAUCAGCUAGACCUCCAUGUGAGUCUCCCCAAUGUAGGUAGGAAGCACUUUCCC